ACAGGGAAAAGUUCACCAUCAAUGCCGCAGCCAUUGUGUGCGCGCUUGCCAGGUUUAAUCUUCACUGACUUGACCUGCAUCACCAGCUCAUUGCAAUUAAAGUCUAGCUUCUAAUCAAGAACUCCCAACACUUCAGAGUUUUUAAUUAGAAAUCAAUCUGUUGCGGCAGUUCAAUUGACUGGAAUUUAAACAGGUAAAUCUGUAAUUUAUCAAUCAUCCCCAACCUAUGAUACAACUACCCAAUGAAAAUGUUUAUUCCGCAAACAGAAAAAUGCCUAUAAACAUAGACUAUCAAGUAUAAGUUUCUGUUAGCCUGAAAAUUUAAGGCUUAUAAUUUCAGAACUUGACUAACAUCAGCAGGACUGCUUGAUUAAAGUUGAUGGGGAGGUGGCUUUAUUCUUUUGAAAAUAAUACUGCAACCAAAUGAUUAUGCCAACGAAAUGUUUUCAGCACCCUCAGUAGCCAAGGACUAAACAGGUAUGACACUCAGACUGCUUCAUAACCAGGAGAAUGUGUGAGCACAUAUUUGUUUUUCCAUUUGCUUCUAUUUGUGUGUGUGUGUGCUUGUGUGCUUUGGGUGUUCAUUAAAAGACAAAAUUGGGUAGGCCAGGGUGGAGUCCCAAAUUUAUGACAAGUGCUCUUACCUUAACAUAUUCAACAUAAGGUAGGGAAAGGUGUCUACCCAUUUGCAGACAUAAGAAGAAUCUCAACAGCCUCAGCCUCCCAGUUCCGUGAACCAACAACAAAUCCAAGGUGUUGUCAUCAUAUUGCGCCCUUGGGGCCACCACCUG
rnacentral:lncRNA from 1 species